CCCUUACACACCACUCUUCUCUCUCGCAAUCAAACUCUCUAGCUGUUCUUCAUCGAUCUCUGUCGCUCGAGGGCUUUGCUCUAGCUGUUCUUCAUCGAACUCGAACUCGAUCUCGAUCUGUUCUUCAGAUCAGAUCAUUAUCAUUCUUCGAUUCUCUUCUUCUCUCUUCGAUCUCUUUGCAAACCUCUAUCUCUCUCCAAACUCUGUUUGGUCUAUCUGUGUUCGAUCAUGGAGAUGAAACGUAUGAUCGAGUUUCCACACCCGUACAUGGAUCGUUGUCCCAGAACGAGGCCGCGUUUGGGUUGGGACGUUGCUCCUCAGGCCCUUAAGGUGGGGUGAAGCCAUAUUUAUGGGUUUAAAUGAUAGUGGUCUUCUGGUGAAACUUCAUGGGGAUACUGGAUCAGUCACAUUAGAUGCUAGCUCAGUUAGAUUGGCACCAUUAUGGAUUAAUGAGCAGAAGUCAUGGCAAGUUACUCUAGUCAAGAUUGAGAUGAACGAUCUGGAGUUGCGUAAGGUACUGCUUUUUAUCAAGAUUGUUUGUCUUUUCCUUUGUUUCGUAUUGAUCUAGCACCCUUCUUUUAAGGGUCCAUUUGGAUAGAUGUGGAUUUCAAUUCCUGUAAUUGUCACACAAAAAAUAAAUAAAAUCAAGGGAUUUGAGGUUAAAUAGAUAGAAAAACAAUGGAAGAAGAUAAGUUAAGAUACAAGAUAUAUAUAUAUAUACAUAUUAGUAGGAUCCUUGUAGCUAGAAAGAGAAUUCUUAGCAUUAUUUCAAAUAACUAAUUUUAUAGUUAUUUCAAAUCCAUCAUGAUAAAGCUAUUUAACUCAAUCUUGAAAUUCAUAAGUAAACAAUCAUAUCUAAAUUUAAGUUGUUGUCCUUUAAUGAUUAAGGUCAAAUCCGUUGAUUUCAAAUCCAUAUCUAUUCAAAGGGUUCCUGAUAUUUUCAUAGGGUUAAUAAUUUGCUUUCUUUGGCUUAUUAAUAUACUUUUGUUCCAUUCUGCGUUUUUUUUAUUUUUGUUACCUUCCUUCAGGUAGUUGGGAUCAAAUCUAACAAUAAGAAAGCAAAUAAUCUGAGUCAAAUUGUUUUUGUGCCUAAUUUGAAAGCAAAACCUCUAAAGAAAAUACCAGAAAGAUCCAGUCUCCAACAAAUAACUGCAGAUCAAUAUGCC